rnacentral:rRNA from 1 species
UUCGGUGUCUAUUGCAGUAGGGUCCACCUCUUCCCAUUCCGAACAGAGAAGUUAAGACUACUAGCGCUGAUGGUACUGCCCUAUUGAGGGUGGGAGAGUAAGUCGACGCCACUU